CACGUAGGGUGCAAGCGUUGUCCGGAAUUAUUGGGCGUAAAGAGCUCGUAGGCGGUGUGUCGCGUCGGCCGUGAAAACCUGCAGCUUAACUGUGGGCUUGCGGUCGAUACGGGCAUCACUGGAGUUCGGCAGGGGAGACUGGAAUUCCUGGUGUAGCGGUGAAAUGCGUAGAGAUCAUGAGGAAGACCAGUGGCGAAGGCGGGUCUCUGGACAGUUCCUGACACUGAGACACGAAGGCCAGGGGAGCAAACGGG
rnacentral:rRNA from 1 species